GUGCCGUCGGCGCACUAGGGUUUUUUCUCGCCGAAGAACGAUGGUUUUCCACUUCCUUCGAUCUUCUCCUUUCGCUUUUAGGCGAAUUGCCUUCCGUUUCCGGUGAUACCAACUUCGCUCUUCGUUCUCAUUCUUCAUGAAAUUUUAUUGCUUUUAUCAGUUUCAUUUGUAUUAUUCGAUACCCAUCACCCUCUUCUGCUUCGUGUCUAGUUUAUUGGUUUCUUCGGGGUGUCCCCUAAACAUUUGUGCGCCAUACGUUGAAUCUCUUGGCUUUCAUGUAUGAGUUUGUUCAAUGAGAGGGAAGCACAACCCUUGAGAUCGCCUUCCUUGUGACAGUGGAAGCGUUUCGAGUCAUUGUUGUGCAACAUUACCUUGGGGGCUUCUUGAAGUUUCUUCAUGUUAGUCCUUCCACCAUUCUGGUUUAUACUUUCGCAGUAGCUCCUUUGUUGGUUUAUGUUGUUUAUCAGGAGGCCAUGAUCAAUAGCGCGUGUUAUGUGCUAUUAGUCAUACGGUUUUCUGUACAGCAUUUUUCCAUUGCGCCGGUUGGCUAUUGUGGGCCAGAAGGUUUGGCACAUUGAUGCUUUGAAAAUCAACCUAAUUUUAGUUUAGUUUUAGAUGGUGGCAGUGUCUUUUAAGUUUUCCUUGUUCUUGUGGGUUCUCCAUAAUACGGUACUUAGUCAUAAACUAUGAUUUCUGGGCAGCUUGAUCUAAAGUGCCCUUAUUAUUCGGUGUAUAGUUUGCAAUCUCGUUUUCAGUAUAGUCCUUAUUCAUCAUCUUCUUAAGUUAUAAUGAGCUCUUGUUUUUGUGGUUUUGGUAGGGUAAAUGAUCUCUUACGGACGUAUCUGACUCUUUGCUUUCCCUUGUUUGCAUGAGUGAUUCAUUACGUUCUUUGUUAGUUUUCCCAAAUUGGCGUGGCGAUGAAACUGGACAAUUUUCUCGUAAAUGAUCUCUUACGGACGUAUCUGCUUUCCCUUGUUUGCAUGAGUGGUUCAUUACGUUCUUUGUUAGUUUUCCCAAAUUGGCAUGGCGAUUGAACUAAUAAACUCUGAGGUGGAGUUUUUGAUUUGCACUAACUUCCCGUAUUAGCCAACUGAGUGCAUCCUCAUCAUCUUGGAUUCAGUCAAUUGAACACAGAAAGCAGUCUUAUCUGUAAUCUUCCAAAACUUGUGCUUCGAGUUAGUUGUCCCUUAUCUUUGUUUUUUGUUUCAAGAAUUUAGUCUCUGCCGAAACUCAAGCCGUUUGUUUUAUGGUUGUUUGUGCCCUUAUCUGAGUGGAGUAUGCUUGUUUGUUUUACAGAGAAUUUCCAAAAUUCAAAUUUUGGUCACCUUUGUUCUUUAUAGUUUGUGCAAGGAUGAUGAAUCUAUUAGAUGUGUGAAGGGAGUCUUUCCAUUAUGAACGGACUCAUGAGGCAUUUCAAGGUUCUGACUUGCUAUAUAUGCUACCACUUUCACUUGAAUUAUGAUUUUGUUGAGUUGCAAAUAUGAACUUUUCAUCUGUUUCCGUUGAACUUCGAAAUCUUAAUUGCUCGACUGUGUAUGAGUCAUCCUAGUAUGAUGAACCAAUUAGAUGUGUGAAAUGGCUUCUACCAUCAUGAACUGAACUACUGAGGCAUUUCAAGGUUCUGACUUGAUACUCGCAGUCUUCUGUAAUUUUUCAGAAUUUGUGCCUCGAGAUAGUUAGGCUCUGCUGAUACUCGAGCUUUUCUCUUUUACCUCUUUGAAUUCACUACACGGAGCACCUUUUAGUUCUCCAAUUGCGGAGGCAGUUCCCUCGUCAGCGGUUGAACUGUUGAGGCAUGUGAAAGUUGAUUGUUACAGAGAAUGACAGGCAAUGAGAUUUGCCAAGAUUCAAAUUUUAGGCACCUUAAUAUUAGAACUUUGUCCAAGAAUGAUGAAUCGAUUAGAUGUGUGAUUGGGAGUCUUUCAACGACUCAUGAGGCAUUUCAAGGUUCAACUUGCUAUAUGUGACCACUUUAUUUGAGCCAUGAUUCUCUUGAAUUGUGUAUGCCAACUUUCUUUCUGAUUCCGUUUUUACUUAGAAAUUGUAGUCGCUCCACUCUACUGUAUUGAGUAUCUAGUGUGAUGAACCAAUUAGAUGUGUGAAAUGGCUUCUGCCGUCAUGAACUGAACUACCGAGGCAUUUCAAGGUUCUGACUUGAUACUUUCUUUUUCCUGAUAUAUAUUGUCACGAAUAAACUAUAUCAUAUUAAUUGAGCCAGGAAAUAUGCAAUACCUUGCUGAACUAAAUCUAUACGAGAAAAUAUCGAGUCUUUCCAGGUAUCUCAAGUUGGAUGGCUGACUAGUGACCUCAUGGCAUCUUGUCAAUUUGGUGAAGCGUCAAAGCAAGUUUGUAAUUGAAAUCAAUAAGCCCAAGGUUUUCGCUGUGUUGUGUCUGGUAGGGACUUUUUUGUCAGUCUUUUUGUAUCUGUACAUGUAACUUCGGAUGGUGCUUAAUAAUUCGGACUCGAAAGCCUAUGAAGCAAGGGGUUUGGACCUUUUCUGCCAAGGCAUGUUAAAGUUUUGCACUGAAGUGAAAUUAUGAACAAUGUUAAAUAUCACAAGUUUUGACGAAAUAUGUGAAAUACAGACAAGUUUUCAAGCA